rnacentral:rRNA from 1 species
AUUGAACGCUGGCGGCAUGCCUUACACAUGCAAGUCGAACGGCAGCGGACCUUCGGGUGCCGGCGAGUGGCGAACGGGUGAGUAAUUUAUCGGAACGUACCUUUCAGUGGGGGAUAACGUAGCGAAAGUUACGCUAAUACCGCAUAUCCUGUGAGCAGGAAAGCAGGGGAUCGCAAGACCUUGCGCUGAUUGAGCGGCCGAUAUCAGAUUAGCUAGUUGGUGAGGUAAAGGCUCACCAAGGCGACGAUCUGUAGCGGGUCUGAGAGGAUGAUCCGCCACACUGGAACUGAGACACGGUCCAGACUCCUACGGGAGGCAGCAGUGGGGAAUUUUGGACAAUGGGCACAAGCCUGAUCCAGCCAUGCCGCGUGAGUGAAGAAGGCCUCGGUUGUAAG